GACGAACGCUGGCGGCGUGCCUAACACAUGCAAGUCGAACGCGAAAGCCCCGCAAGGGGUGAGUAGAGUGGCAAACGGGUGAGUAACGCGUGGGUGACCUGCCUUCGAGUGGGGGAUAACGUUUCGAAAGGAACGCUAAUACCGCAUGACAUCCUCUCUUUGAACAGAGGGACAUCAAAGCUUGGACCGCAAGGCCAGGCGCUCGGAGAGGGGCCCGCGUCCGAUUAGCAGUUGGUGAGGUAACGGCUCACCAAGGCGACGAUCGGUAUCCGGCCUAAGAGGGCGGACGGACACACUGGGACUGAGACACGGCCCAGACUCCUACGGGAGGCAGCAGUGGGGAAUUGUUCGCAAUGGGCGCAAGCCUGACGACGCAACGCCGCGUGGAGGACGAAGAUUUUCGGAUCGUAAACUCCUGUCGAGUGGGAAGAACGAUUCGCGGCUGAAUAAUCCGCGGAAGUGACGGUACCACUAAAGGAAGCCCCGGCUAACUCCGUGCCAGCCGCCGCAGU
rnacentral:rRNA from 1 species